AGAGUUUGAUCCUGGCUCAGGAUGAACGCUGGCGGCGUGCUUAACACAUGCAAGUCGAACGAGCCUUCGGGCUAGUGGCGGACGGGUGAGUAACGCGUGAGAAUCUGCCCUCAGGAGGGGGAUAACGGCUGGAAACGGCCGCUAAUACCCCAUAUGCCGCGAGGUGAAAUGAGAAAUCGCCUGAGGAUGAGCUCGCGUCUGAUUAGCUAGUUGGUGGGGUAAGAGCCUACCAAGGCAUCGAUCAGUAGCUGGUCUGAGAGGAUGAUCAGCCACACUGGGACUGAGACACGGCCCAGACUCCUACGGGAGGCAGCAGUGGGGAAUUUUCCGCAAUGGGCGCAAGCCUGACGGAGCAACGCCGCGUGAGGGAUGAAGGCCUCUGGGCUGUAAACCUCUUUUCUCAAGGAAGAAGAACUGACGGUACUUGAGGAAUAAGCCACGGCUAAUUCCGUGCCAGCAGCCGCGGUAAUACGGGAGUGGCAAGCGUUAUCCGGAAUUAUUGGGCGUAAAGCGUCCGCAGGCGGUCUUGAAAGUCUGUUGUUAAAGCGUGGAGCUCAACUCCAUUUCAGCAAUGGAAACUAGAAGACUAGAGUGUGGUAGGGGCAGAGGGAAUUCCCGGUGUAGCGGUGAAAUGCGUAGAUAUCGGGAAGAACACCAGUGGCGAAGGCGCUCUGCUGGGCCAUAACUGACGCUCAUGGACGAAAGCCAGGGGAGCGAAAGGGAUUAGAUACCCCUGUAGUCCUGGCCGUAAACGAUGAACACUAGGUGUCGGGGGAAUCGACCCCCUCGGUGUCGUAGCCAACGCGUUAAGUGUUCCGCCUGGGGAGUACGCACGCAAGUGUGAAACUCAAAGGAAUUGACGGGGGCCCGCACAAGCGGUGGAGUAUGUGGUUUAAUUCGAUGCAACGCGAAGAACCUUACCAGGGUUCGACAUCCUGCGAAUCUUUUGGAAACAGAAGAGUGCCUUCGGGAGCGCAGAGACAGGUGGUGCAUGGCUGUCGUCAGCUCGUGUCGUGAGAUGUUGGGUUAAGUCCCGCAACGAGCGCAACCCACGUCUUUAGUUGCCAGCAUUAAGUUGGGCACUCUAGAGAGACCGCCGGUGAUAAACCGGAGGAAGGUGUGGAUGACGUCAAGUCAUCAUGCCCCUUACAUCCUGGGCUACACACGUACUACAAUGCUACGGACAGAGGGCAGCAAACUCGCGAGAGCUAGCAAAUCCCAUAAACCGUGGCUCAGUUCAGAUCGUAGGCUGCAACUCGCCUACGUGAAGGAGGAAUCGCUAGUAAUCGCAGGUCAGCAUACUGCGGUGAAUACGUUCCCGGGCCUUGUACACACCGCCCGUCACACCAUGGAAGUUGGCCAUGCCCGAAGUCGUUACUCCAACCCUUGUGGAGGAGGACGCCGAAGGUGGGGCUGAUGACUGGGGUGAAGUCGUAACAAGGUA
rnacentral:rRNA from 1 species